UGUUGCCCGUACGGUGCCAUGCCAUUUCCCUCAUUUCCAUGUUUCGAAUGAUUCUCAUCUUUUGUCUCACAGUUCCGCCAUUUCCAUUGUAAAUUUCCUUCCAUGCCAAUAUUUCUUCCGUUUCAUUCCUAUAUUCUAGUUUUGUUACCGUACAUAUAACUUAUAUGGUACAUACAUAUACUAUGUAUUUCCUAAGCCUAAUUGCGAUAGACUGAUAGAUACAUACUAAACCUAGGCAUAUUCAUAUAAUAUGGAUAGUUUGGGGGGAUAGUGAAAACAUUUAAAACAAGGGUGAAAACAGGUUCCUUAUAAAUUGCACAUAAUUGUUGACUUAUUCAUAUAACUACCACCAUAAAAUAUAGUACCUAUUGUUUUGUUUUCGUUUUAAUCAUAAAAAGUUUCAAUUUGGUCGAUGCUCCUCCUGCUCCUGCUUCUGUUUUUGCUUCUGCACUUCCAUUCUUCAUUUUCUUUCUCUUUUUAUACGUGUGUGUGUGUGUGUGUUUGAGGUGUGGUGGGGCUAGGAGGGGGGCUUGACAUAUAAUUUACAAUUCUCACUAGGGUUUCAUACAUAUAUCAUGCUUUUGUUUUUU
rnacentral:lncRNA from 1 species